CUUGACCUACGGGACGCAGCAGUGGGGAAUAUUGGGCAAUGGGCGCAAGCCUGACCCAGCAACGCCGCGUGAAGGAAGAAGGCUUUCGGGUUGUAAACUUCUUUUCUCAGGGACGAAGCAAGUGACGGUACCUGAGGAAUAAGCCACGGCUAACUACGUGCCAGCAGCCGCGGUAAUACGUAGGUGGCAAGCGUUAUCCGGAUUUACUGGGUGUAAAGGGCGUGUAGGCGGGGACGCAAGUCAGAUGUGAAAACCACGGGCUC
rnacentral:rRNA from 1 species